AGCGGGGGCGGGGUGAGGGACCCGGAUGCCCGGGCAGUUUCCCCACCCACCUCGGCGGAGGGCUCGGCGGCUUCAGAGUCUGCAGUGCGCAGGCGCGGCGCUCCCUGGCCAGGCCUGGUGCGGCCCUGGCCGCUGGCUCUGUUCCUGGUUAGAACUACGCCAGACAGGCCGGGCGAGGUGGCUCACGCCUGUAAUCCCAGCACUUUGGGAGGCUGAGGCGGGCAGAUCACGAGGUCAGGAGAUCGAGACCAUCUUGGCUAACGCGAUGAAACCCCGUCUCUACUAAAAAUACAAAAAAUUAAAUUAGCCGGGUGUGGUGGCGGGCGCCUGUAGUCCCAGCUACUUGGGAGGCUGAGGCAGGAGAAUCGCCUGAACCUGGGAGGCGGAGCUUGCAGUGAGCCGAGAUCGUGCCACUGCACACCAGCCUGGGCGACAGA
rnacentral:lncRNA from 1 species